AGUCGAGCGCUGAUUACGGGGUAGCAAUAUCUCGUAGUCGGAGCGGCGCAAGGGUGCGUAACACGUGGGUAAUCUGCCAUGAAGUUUGGGAUAACUCGCUGAAAGGCGAGCUAAUACCGGAUGUGACGAUCGGGAGGCAUCUUCUGAUCUUCAAAGUUGGGGACCGUAAGGCCUGACGCUUCAUGAUGAGCCCGCGGCCUAUCAGCUAGUUGGUGAGGUAACGGCUCACCAAGGCUAAGACGGGUAGCUGGUCUGAGAGGACGACCAGCCACACUGGAACUGAGACACGGUCCAGACACCUACGGGUGGCAGCAGUCGAGAAUUUUUCACAAUGGGGGAAACCCUGAUGGAGCGACGCCGCGUGGGGGAUGAAUGGCUUCGGCCCGUAAACCCCUGUCAUUCGCGAACAAUGCCUGUGGUCUAAUAAAUCACAGGUUGAUAGUAGCGGAAGAGGAAGGGACGGCUAACUCUGUGCCAGCAGCCGCGGUAAUACAGAGGUCCCAAGCGUUGUUCGGAUUCACUGGGCGUAAAGGGUGCGUAGGCGGUCGGGUAAGUCUGAUGUGAAAUCUCGGAGCUCAACUCCGAAACUGCAUUGGAUACUAUUCGGCUUGAGGUCUGGAGGGGGGGAUGGAAUUCUCGGUGUAGCAGUGAAAUGCGUAGAUAUCGAGAGGAACACCAGUGGCGAAGGCGAGUCCCUGGACAGGUCCUGACGCUGAGGCACGAAAGCUAGGGGAGCAAACA
rnacentral:rRNA from 1 species